CAUCCUGUUCCUUGCAUAAAAGUUGGCAAUUUGUACUUGAUUCUUUAGAGGAAGCAAGUUGUAAUGCACAAACUUCUUCUAAAUUUGGGGAAGAAGUAUAAUACAAAGGAUUUUUGUUGAACAUUAGGAAAAUCUACUCAUAAAAUUCAUUGUGCAAAUUUGGAGAAGUUUGAUUCAUCAUAUCUUCCUUAUUGGAUUUGUUUGUGGAACUAUGGAGAGGCUUUGAUCUUCAUAUCUUUAUUCUUGGAUUUAUUUGCAGAGCUUCAAAAAGGAUUUGAUUCUUCAUAUCUUUUUUUUUAGAUUUGUUUGUGGAAAUCUCAAGAGGCUUUGAUCUUCAGAUCUUUUUUCUUGGAUUUAUUUGUGGAGUUAACUUUAGAGAGGCUUUGAUCUUCACAUCUUCCUUCUUGGAUUUGUUUGUGGAACUUUAAAGAGGUUUUGAUCUUCAAAUCUUUUUUCUUGGAUUUAUUUGUGGAAAUCUAGAGAGGCUUUGAUUAUUUAGAUCUUCAUUCUUGGAUUUGUUUAACUUUAGAGAGGCUUUGGAUCUUCAGAAUCUUCCUUCUGAAGGCCUUGGACUUGUGGGAGUUUUGCAAGCUUUGUUCUUCAAAAUCUUCUUUUUUCUCUCUUGUUCAUCAAAUGGCUUGGAGGAG
rnacentral:lncRNA from 1 species